rnacentral:rRNA from 1 species
UACGGAGGAUCCAAGCGUUAUCCGGAUUUAUUGGGUUUAAAGGGUGCGUAGGCGGAAUAGUAAGUCAGUGGUGAAAGCCUGUCGCUUAACGACAGAACUGCCAUUGAUACUGCUAAUCUUGAGUAUAAUUGAAGUGGGCGGAAUGUGUCGUGUAGCGGUGAAAUGCUUAGAUAUGACACAGAACACCGAUUGCGAAGGCAGCUCACUAAACUAUAACUGACGCUGAGGCACGAAAGCGUGGGGAUCAAACAGG